GACGAACGCUGGCGGCGUGCUUAACACAUGCAAGUCGAACGGAAAGGCCCUGCUUUUGUGGGGUGCUCGAGUGCCGAACGCGUGAGUAACACGUGAGUAUCCUGCCCUUGUCUUUGGGAUAACUUCAGGAAACUGGGGCUAAUACCGGAUAGGAGCUCCUGCUCCAUGGUGGGGGUUGGAUAGUUUCGGCGGUUGGGGCUGGACUCGCGGCUUAUCAGCUUGUUGGUGGGGUAGUGGCUUACCAAGGCUUUCACGGGUAGGCGGCCUGAGAGGGUGAACGGGGACAUGGGGACUGAGAGACGGCGCAGACGGGUACGGGAGGCAGAAGGGGGGAAUAUGGCACAAUGGGCGGAAGCCUGAUGCAGAAACGUCGCGUGCGGGAUGACGGCCUGCGGGGUGUAAACCGCUGUCGCCUGUGACGAAGCGGGAGUGACGGUAAUGGGUAAAGAAGCACCGGCUAACUACGUG
rnacentral:rRNA from 1 species